ensembl:lncRNA
CUGGUCUCAUUUUGCUGGUAGCCAUGCACAGAACGCCGAGGUUCCGGCUGCAGGUUCCCUGGUGGGGCAGCAACGUGCCAUAAGCACCACUUACGGCACUUUGCUGGUGAUGGCCUUUGGAGACUGGCUUUUAGCAGUGUAUUCAGGAAGAGAAGUGGGGAAUGACCAUGGAAAUUACGCAGCUUGCGAGCUCCAGCUUCCUUUCAAAUGACUUUGCUACACAAAUUUCACUUUGCAGUAUAUCAAUAUAUAUACAGCAUCUUUCCUUGACGCUUAAAUGGACGCUGUAUUUUUCUUCUGGGAUAUCCAUGCAUAGAAAAACAAACAAAAUCUGCACACUCAGAAUGCUCAGACCUGACUGCCUCCUGCAAAAAUGAGCUAUAGGGUAACCCAAGAGAUAAUCAUCGGAGGAUAACUGCGUGUUAUCCCCAUGCAAAACCCCUAUCUGCAUUCGAAAGGGGGAGCUGCAGAAGCUGCUAACGGUCCAGAAACAUCCUGAGGACACAAAAUUUGCCUUCACAAAACUCCUAAAGAAAGAUAACGGAUGGAAACCUCAAAGAACACAAAACCCGGGUUUUCAGGGUUUUUUAGCUGCACGUGAACGAACCGAAGUACCAGAUAAAGCGCAAUUAUCCUUUAAAGCUUACCUUUUGUUGUCGUAGUUGUUUGUAAGCCACGCAGCUGUUCUCCAGAACACCACCUGCAAGAACCUGCACGCGGAGCGUUCCGUCUUUGCAGCGUCAGUAAGAAUCAAGGGCAAGAGUUUGGUGGGAGUUUCUAACUUUCAAAAUGUUCAAAGAGAGAUUCACCUGAUUGAAAAGCUGCUUUCCCAUUAUUUAGUGCAGAAAACUGAAAAAGAUAUUGUAAUUAAGCUCAGGAGAUCAAUUAGCAUGUUAAACAACCACACGCGAGAUUCAAAACGUUACUCGCGGGUCAGCCAAUAGAAGAGAGUGCUCACAGGUGGAACUUUCUAGACUUGAUGAUGGUGCAGGGACAGCUGAACCUGUGGGCCUGAGCACCCAGCUGCGAGUAAUUGCGCUACAAAUCAGGGCCUGAAGAUAAGUUCCCCCCUGGGGGGUUUGACUUUUGUUUGUUCGGAGAACUGAUCGGUGUGAAGUUGCUGCCCCGGGAUGCCGUCAAGCUACGUUUUGAGCUGGAACAAGAUUGGAAAAAAGAUGGUGGUUUGACCACGAGGAUUGCUCGAGAAUGAAGGGGGACUACUCCGGAUGGGCUGAAAUGGGAAGGCUCCAUCUCAGAGGAGUGUUCUGGCGAUCUACCUGGAUAGGAACUGGAUUCUGCAGUCCUGAGUCAUGGUCAUGAGGAGAAGAGCUGUAAUGCUGUGAUACAGAAUUUCCGAUCUCUAACCUGAGCAGACGUGGCCUGCUUGUCAGCCUGGUCGCAAGGCAGCUCAGAUCCCGGCUUGGAUGCUUCAGGGUCACAGCCUCCAUCAGAUGAGCACAUGGAGGGAUGCAAAGACGGAAGAUGCCUCAUCUGCUGGGAAAUUCAACUACAACUGAAAUAGCUCAUCAUAAGCAAUAGUGAGCAGAGUGAUUACGGUCAAAAACGCAACACAGUGAGUGAGUAAUGCAUGCAGCUCCAGCACUUCCCUACCUCUUAUGGACGAUGGGAGGUUGAAACAGCUCAUCUUUGAGAACUUUUGUUCCUGGUUUUGGGACACUUGAAAGAGAGCAUCUCCCAGUGGCAAAGAUAAGAGCCCACGUCCUUCCUGUAUCCUGUGGCUAUGCAUUCUCAGCCACAAGAGUCAGCAAGUCCCCUUCCAGAGGGAAGCGAUUUGGACAAUAACAUCUCAGACUGAUGCUGCUAAUCUGCCCUUACCCAAGGGAAGUGGGUGAGGUCAGAAGACGGGGAAAGACUUGUCUGCUGUCAGGAUGAUGGUGAUACUGACGCAUCAAAUAGAGCUGAAUGCUGCUGUAAAGUGCCUAGGGACCCAACCUGUGGAAAUCGAAGUCUCUGAGGAUUCCUAUGUGACCAAAGGUUGGAUUUCACUUCUCAAAGAGUCAGCUUUUGAGCAUUCCUUUAUGGAGCUGCAAGAACAUAAAGUCAUCACAGAGAGCCUCGUUAAAAGUGUUUAAUGAGAGCAGUGUGAUCCCACAGCCCAAGGGUCAGCAUGAGAGCAAGGACAGCCCAGAAGCCUCGUCCCACCAGAGACCCCAUUCAUCAAGGGACACACUGACUGCUGUCACCAACACCCAGACAGGCACAGGAGACAAAGCAACCCAAGAGAACUGCAGCUGGGUAUCAACGCCAGUGCGAAUUUCUCAGCCCAGAACAAGCCAAGACUCACUUCUGGCCAAAAUUCCUGCACUAAUGCUAACCACCAUCUGAUUACAUGAUUUUCCUGAGAUCCUGCUGCAAGUCGUUGUCACAGAAAGGGCUCAUGUGGGCACACUGCAGCCCUGGUUCCCUGCUGCCUACCUCUGCCUCUGGUUGGUCCGGUGCCCUGAGCAGCCCCAUCACCUGUGCUCUGCUCCCUGCUGGAAAAACAUGCUCGUUUUCAAAGGUAAGGGAGUCUUGGGUUACUAGGAACACAAAUCAUUAUGAGUAAAACUGCAUUCCCAAUUUAUUGUAUUUGUUUUAUUUAUAAUUUUAUUACUUAUUCCACAUUUUCCAUAUUUUCCAUGUGUUUCGCGUCAUUCUGGUCCGUUUUGGCCUUGACGUGGAAACUUGGGCUCUUCUCCCUGCCUGACGUGUUGAAGGCUUUAUAAACAGCCUUGCUUCAUUGUUUGCUCUGCCUGUUUCCAUCCCGCAGGUGUGUGGCUGGAGCUGUGCUUGAGACAAGUCCGAAUGCUCUCUGCCUGGGGAGCAGGAUGGGGCUGAGGGGAAGAAAAGCAGCAGUUAAUGCAGUAAGUGGUGAAAAUUAAGCAAAUUGUUCAAGUGGUGCUUUAACAAAGAACAGUUUGAGACUCCUCUGAUUUGUGGGUUCUCUUUUUCGUGUUAAGGAAAGAAGAGAGAAGGAGAUUUUUCCGUGCAGUCAACAUGUUGCAUGUGCAUGUCCAGAGUUCUCGUGAACCAAAAACCAAUUCACUGACUGAGCUGAGGAAACUCCUCCCCGUGUUGGUUCAUUCCCUGUGCUGCACAUCUGCUCCUGGAAGGUAAUGUCAUGCAUCUGUAUCCAUAGUUAAUUCACUAUUUUCCCCUCUCCUCGAUGCAUAAGCAAGUAUUUGCUUUCAUGCUCACAUCUGACCACAGUCUGUGAGCAAAUCAGGCAUGUUCAGCAAUGCUGCUCUUAGCUGCUCUUCCAAGGUUUUGUGUCAACAGGAACAUUAGGUCAAUUUGCAGACAGCCCCAGAAAAUCUGGUGCAGCAUCUCUCACACUAUUGACAGGGACUGCUUGAAUUCAGCAUUGCCAGGCUAACAGUUGUCAUUCAGCUCUUGAGCAGAUUUGCACCACCACCUCAUCUAUUUUUCAUCAGUCUUGCACCCUCUGUGACAUCCGUGUCAAUCCAUGAGUUCAGUCUGAUUCAGUUCAAUCCCACACAUACCGAGUGUGUGUGCCAUGCUCAGACCUGAGUAAUCACUUGGAUGACAAAAGGAUGCUCAGUUCCUGCAACUGAAAAGAAAAGCCUAAGAAGCAACUCGCUGAGUUUGUUCUAGACAAACUCCAUGGCAAUUGGAUGAUCCUUAAGGUCCCUUCCCCAACCCAAGCCAUGCUGUGAGUCCACAGUCAGAAACACACACAAAAAAUGUCACUUUUGCUGGCAGGGGAUGGGCAGGAAAAUUGGAUUAGAACAUCUGGUGGGGUUGUUAGCAAAUUUAGUUUGCUAUGAAGCUGGCACUCCACACUGCCCCUCCUCAACUGUUGUGCUGCAUCACCUCCACUUCCCUGUGCUCCUGCCUUGCCCUGUGCUAACCCUGAUGCUGACCUGCCCUGGCUCCCCAUUAGAGCUGCAAUUAGGGGGUGACUCUUAAUAGCGAGGUCUUGCCUCAGAGUGGGGAGAAAUGUUUCUGUAGCUCACAUGCGACAAUUAAAGAUAAUUUAAAAUGUAAGUAAUUGCCCUGGGUUUCUGGAAACUACUGUAGAGGUCUUGUCCCAGGCAUCUGACAGGCACGGUGGUGUAUUUUGACAAGUUUUGUGCAGAUUUCCAUUAAAUACCAACUAGCAGCUCUAUUUUCUUUGGAGUCACUGGUCAGGAAAUGGUGAUUGUGAAAGGUCAGGUCUGGAAGGUUUGGGAGGGGAUGGAGGUGUUAUUCACGUUCCGAUCCAUGGGGAUCUGGUUCCAACAUAAAUCUUGCAGUUGCUUCAUCCUUGCUUUCUGCACAGUCUUUCAGCAGGAGAAAGGCACAGGCUGAUCCACAGGGAUCUUCUGUUCAGUUUCAUGGCCCCUGCUGAGAUGCCAGGUGAGGCGGGACCUACAAAAUGCCCCUUGGCAAGCUGGGGAGUCUGAUUUUAGACACCUGGCAAGCAGCAGAAUGUUUGGUUGUAUCCCCAUCCCAUCACAGCAUUGCACUAAGCCUUCUAGUUUGCAAAAGUGGAUGAGAAAUUGCAGUUGGUUGAAGGCUUCUGCAAGGUCAGAGUGUGAACAUCCUGCAGAAUGCACUCAGAUACUUUCAGAGGCUCAGCAGUCCCUGAAAGAGCUUUGCAUCGUGCAAACAAACUGUCAGCUGAGCUUGGAUUCUGCCACAUGUCCUAACACUAAGGAGCCAUCUGUGUGCAGCACACUACAUAUGACCUUUCUUCUCCCUCUCCUUUCUUUCAAGUUGUCUCUUUUUUGACCUACAUUUAAGAUACCAAAUGAAUCCCAGCUGAGCACAGAGUUAAAUAUGCAACCCCAUACCAGCAUGUAAAUGAAGAGUCAGUCCAUGUACAGCAUGAGAACAAGUAUAUGGAAACAGAAUAAUCUGAAAAUGGAAAGGGACCCAUUCUGAACAUAGUCACCAUCUUUCACGUUUCAUUGGUCUGGGUUCUUCUCUCAGUUAUGGAGGCUUUUCUCCCAAGUCAUUUCAGGUGGGCCUGGAGGAGGACUUGUCACAAAAAAGCAGAGAGAAACCUGUACCACGUUUCAAAACUGCACUUUUAUUUCUGCUUCCAUAACUGAUUUUCUCAUGUAUGUUCAAAAGCCAGAGAUCACAUCUCUGUACUAUAGAAGUUUUCAGUUUGUGCCAGGGGAUAGUAAAAUUAAAUGUGUCCAGAAGCAGUUGCAUGAUCAUGAGCUCUGCAAGUUCUUACCUUUGUAUGGCUUAUAGAAGACAAAAAUACAUAGGAGAAAUUAAAGCUACAGAAGUCUCACCUUCAUUACUGCUUCCAAGCAGCUGUCUUUCUGGCUUUAGUAAUUCAGACACAUGGGCUACACCACCAAAAAAAAAAACCCACAACCAUCAUGGAACUUCAUCAAGAUCAGAAAUGAAAUCAAAUAUGUACAUAAAAAAAAUAGUUCUUAUUUUUAUCACAACUAAAGUGUUACUUAUGUCACAUACAGGUCAUUAGAGAUGAGACAAAAUGACCAGAGCUGGUUUGGGGGCUUUGGUUUUUGCUCUUCAAGAGGCCACUUGAAGCUUUAACUCAGCAUCACUCACUUAUAUUCUGCCUUUAAAGCCAUUGGAGUGCUCAGACCCAGCACAGGGCACAUUGCCAUCACCCAGGUGGGGACUGCAUGCCCCUAACCAAUGUCACCAUGCCCACAUGAUGCCUGGGGCCUCUCCAAAGCGAGGUUUACAUUACCAGCACAGCACUGCCUUCACCUCACUUCCUGGCUCAGCCCUUUUGUAGAGCAUUCCAUGUUGGGCCACACAAGGGACAGAAGGGGGGAAAAACACAGGCAAAACAGAUCUAGCUUUGAAACACCAGAGUCCACAUCACCAAACCCUCUGUCCUCAUCCAUGCAAAACCCUUGUAGGACGCAUGGAGGUAAGCUUUUGAAAGGGUUUUUGAACACAUCAUACAUAGGAAAAUAACACGCUGUAGAAACUUGGCAAUGAGUUUGUCUCCAGUAGCCAAGUUGGGCAUGGAAAAAAAAAUUAGACAAUAAAAGGUCAUUUCUAGCCAAGUUUUAAGUGAGUAUACAAUACAUACCUUUUUUUUCCCCCCAGUUCCUUGCCUUAGUUAUUGGCCAACUUGGCCAGGAUCUUAUGGAAAACACUGAAAUGGAAUUAUUAUAAUUGUGUGGGUUUUUUUCUCUUUUUGACCAAGCAAAAGUUCUUAUAAGCAAUAAUUUAAUUACAGCAAAAGCAUAACACAGACACAGUCUUAAGGAUGCAUCAUCAAAAGAAAAAAAAAAACCACCAAACUUUAAACUACAGCUACUUCAUGUGUGCCAGUGAACUAAUACUGCUGCUAUUUAUUAUUUUUCUUAAUUAUUUAUUAUAAAGCCUGCCAUAAAGUGGAAAAUUACCAGUGCUGAUCACCUUUCCAACCAUUCCAGGUGGAAGAUGGCACAAGAACAGUUUUGCAAAGCUGACCUCAAUGAGAGAGUAAAGGAGUCAAGCAUGAGAGUGAAAGGGAAACAAACAAAUCAGAUUUGAAUAUGCUAAGCUAAAUAAAUAACCACAAGCCUGAGAUCAACAGGAAUAUUAUAAGCUGCAGAUUUGGAGCUGUGUUAAACAGGAACAAUCGUUUCCUUUUUGCCACUUACUGAAGGAAGAAGGCCAUUCCUUUCUGCAGAGUUGAUCUGCUACGUUCUCAUGCUCUCUAGGAAAUAUCCUUCCAAGUCAGAUGACUUCUUAGCAAGUGAGGAGAGGAAUAUGGUUUUUUGUUGCAAAAUUUAGAACUCAUUCCAUUGCUGCGUCACCAGCUCAGAUCUUUGUCUCAGCCAUUCCUUUGUCUCUUGCUCAGCCAUGACCCACUGCUCAUCCGCCGGGCUGACAGCACACCAAGUCCUGCCUAAAUGCAAGAACCUCAGAGCAUCAGUAGGACAUCCCACCCAGCCAAAGAACCCGGAGGAAACUUCUAAGCUUGUAUGAGUCACUCAUCAUCUCAAGCAGCAUUAGAAGGAAAUUGCCUUAGGGCACUGUCAUCACCAUUUGUGAGUAUUUGUUGACAGCAAAUGUCUGUGCUACUGUUACGAACCUCAGGCUGGGCUAGGUUUGAACCUAAGAUCACCACUUUUAGCACAUAUACAUUGGCCAGCUGGGCUGAAAAAUGGAGAAUUCAGCAUCACCAGAAGCUGGCAGUUGCCUUAAAGUUAAUGUGCAUCUGCGCAUAGCCUUCGCCAGCAACAAAUGCAGAGUGAUGGGCUUAGCUUAGUUGAGAACAAAGUAUUCUUACAUCCCAAUGAACCUGAAAAGACGGAGGUGAAAAAAAAUACCAUUACUGAUCUGGAACUAGAUGUUAGCAGGGGACAAAACUGCAAAUAGAUAUGCACACACACACUUCUGCCAUUGUUACACAAUCUUUCACAGCUACCAACAAUCUGCACAUAAUCCCUGAGUCUAGUUCACGUUCCCAUGAUCUGAUGGCAUCACCAGGAGAGUGCUUAUGUAUUCCAGCCAGGGCAAGCAGCACAGACUGGAGGCUUCCCAGGCAAGAAUAAGGUUGAUGCGUGUGUCACCUAAAAGCCCCCCUUCCACAUAUCUCACUCUAAGACAUCUCCCUGAAUUUACUGCCUACAAACCAACUGGCAAGCAGACAUUACAGCUUUUCCUAAAAUUUAGGUGAGCAGCAGCAAGGAGGUGGCUGGGCCAUUGCCUCCCAGCUCUUCCUCCAGGCUGCUCAGCUCAGUCUGUGUAACCUCAUCAGCAUCCUAGCAAAAAGCUAUUUUUGCCUCCUAAACAAGCACAAGAAAAACCUUGGUUGAAGCAGAAUGGAAAAGAGCUUCACGGCUUCCCUGGAGAAGGGGAAUGCAAGAUGGUGGUUGGUAGCCAUCUAUCCCAUCUGUUGGAGCCUAGACCCAGUUUUGUCUAAAGAUCCUUGGACAAAUUUGAUGUGCUCACAAAGGGUGGCUGAGAUCCUAGCAGAGCUGAAGUUGACUUCAGACCUGGCCAGCCCAAGCAGAGGACAUUGCUGUUGUUUAAAAAUGAUACUCAUUAAGAGCAGAAGUCAGGCAAUGAUCACCUUCUGUAGUUGAUAAUACUCAAGGAGGGAGAUGGUGGAAAAAUGAAACCUUGGAAAAUAAAACUUAUUUGGCACCGCUGAUUAAAACCAGUUUGCGUUUCAUUGUUAAAGGCUGUGUUUGCUCAAGGUUUAUUCAGCUCUGGUCUCUUCCAUCCACAUACGGUUUGUUUUAAUGACUGUGGAGUUAUAUGAAUCUAUUAAUUUUUUUUUCCUGAAAGUUUCAUAACAACAAUGCCUGUUUUUUUCAUACAGCACUUUACAGCCACGCAUCUGGAAAUACAUUGCAAAUAGGCAAUUAGUAUCAGCCCUAUUUUGAAGAUGGAGAUACUCAGAGUCCAAGCAAGACAGCUAUUAAAGAACGGUGCCAAAAUUAGGCCUUUUGCUUCAUCUUGACAAGCUAGAACUACAGCCUCUUGAAGACAACAGGGAUGCAUGAAAAGCAUUUCAUUUAGCUAGCAGUAACUCUGGCUCAGGUUGGACAGACAAGAGGACAGCAGCAAAGACAGACUGACUCAUGCUAAACAACAGAGGUAGGAAGAGGACUUCCAGUAAUGACAGACUUAGGUCACUGCAAGCACUUACUUCCCAAAGCCAGUGCUGAGGGAUCUAUCUCCAGUGAAGGGCUGACCAUCACAGGUUCCUGUUUUCUGAUAAGAGCUUGCUGCAUUUUUCCUCUCCAUGUUUUUCAGCCUUUCCAGAUCUUCCUGUUAAAGCACAGAGUUGAAAACCAAUAAGAUAAUAUUAUUUGAGGCAAAUCUCUAACCCUUUAAUCAGGCUAUGUGGGAGGCAAGAAAAUGUUAGAUGCAAGGGAAUAUUAAAUUAAUAAUACUAUGUUGAAGUUGAGAUUAGUCAGAUUCCAGAGACGUAUAAUAACUAAGUGCUGCCACCUCUGAUAUGGCUGUGUGGAGGCAAUGAGCAGGCUCACAGCAAGGAAGCAGGUCCUGGGCAGGACAAUGCUGCCAGACAUACUGUGGCAGUGCACUCAGCCCUUCACAUAGCUGCUGGAUGUAAUACCACAGCCCCUACAAAAGCUCAGAGCAGCCUUAUCCCAGGGUGCUGCACGAUCUUCCCACCUCUCCAUCGCAUCCAGCCCAACCUGGGGUGCUGCAUCCAGGGGUGCCCAGUCCUGUCUGGUGUUCCUGGAUCCCUGCUCACAGGUGGGAUGCUCAGGAGUGUCAGUGAUGGGAGUGAAAAUGAGGUGAACAGGUAAGAAUACAGACACUAUAAAGAAGUGAAGAGUGAAGAAACAUUUGGAAGAAAAACACAAAGGAAUUAAAGAUAUCUAGAGUGAAAGAGAUGGUGAAUGGCCUGAAGGGAGUUAAUGAGAUCCAGAAAUGCAAGUUGGAGAAAUGUUGAUUUUAUUUAGCAUUAAUUGCAGGAAAGAGCCUAUAAAGUGUGGUAAAAAAAUUAUUAAGUACCACUAUGCAAUGCCAGCUUUAUGCCAGCCAUCCCUACGAAGCAGGUGUAUUAUUCCUAGUUCCCUAGGUAUAAAUAAAUAACUGCUUUUCCAUGGUUUUCUUUUUUUUUUUUUUUAAAUGAUGGCUUUUCAUUAAUUUUUACUGCCAUAUUGUUAUAGUUCUGAUUCCUCCAGAGCAGCUCUGGGGAUCAGUUGGUGCUGGAGUGUGUGUAUGCAGGUUGGUACCUGCGAGCCAUGGGGCACUGCAUGGGAGAUGCAGUGUCUGUGAUCAUAGCACCCCAGGGGUGCAGCCCUGGUCUUCUUGCCCAUGGACUAAACAUGACCUCACCCAUGGUCUGAGCUCUGACAGCAACAUCUGGGUAAAUACAGAAAGGAACCUGAUGGAAAAUGGACAGUUUGAUGGUUGAUGGACAGUUGAAGGGUGAUGCAUUUUGCAUCGAGGGCUCAUACAGCAAAGCCCAGAAGGAACAGACGGACCACGUUACCCAAGAAACCUUUCCCAAGAUUGAGGUUGCCCUGGGAAAGAACAUUCUGAGGGACAUCACCACGAUGCAAGCACUGGUAUCAUGUCAACCCAUUGGUUGUGGUGUUGGCCUCUGGUGUCAGGGACGGGGAGUUGGGCUUCCCAUGCCACCACAGCCAUCCAGCACUCCUGACUGCACACUCCAAGACAAGAAAAGAAAAAGGAAAAUAAAACCUAUGUUCCGUUCCACUUUUAACUUUCUGCUCAUGCCCAUACAUUCCUCCUGGCGUUAUUACAAACGGGCUCCAAUGUUGCCUUUGUUAAGAAUGAGAGCAGAGCACAUUUCCCCGAGCAAUGUUUGUAUCAGCAUUUUCAGGCUCCUUUUAUCGAGUCUCGCACUUCUCAGAGGAGACUCAGCGGGGAGAUGAGCUCUGGAUGCGUUUUCCUAGCAACGUCUCGCUUCAGAGAGGCCACCAAAGACGUUCAGGGAAGCAGUGAUUCCCUGGUAGUGCCUCAGUCCAAGCUCUGACCUGGAACCGUGGGCUCAGCAAAUACACAUAAAUCUUCAGCUCACGUCCAAAUCAUCGCAAGGUUCAGUGAAAAUAGCAAAACUGCCAGUGGAUCUAACCGAAGUUUUAAUCCAGCUCCAGCAUGAUUUAUGGCCUCAGGUGGAAACCAUGAAGCACAAUGGCCUCAGCCCAAGCCAGGGGACGUUCGGCUGCCCCAGCCCUAAGGUGUUGUGUUACGGCACUGAAGAGUCAAGGCUGCAAGAGGCAUGGAUGAAACUGAACAGCACAAACACGUCCCAGCAACGCCUUCAACCUCUGUGCAUCACAGGCAGACCAGACAGAAGAAGAGAAAAGAGAUGCAGCAAAUCUCAGCACCUUAAGCAAGAGUUGCUCAUCACUGGCCCUGAGGUCUCUGAACCAAGAAAAUACCACUUCCAAAGGGGCUGCUGCUGGGGAACUGCUCAAAUCAAUCUCUCCUCCCCCUCACCCAUAGCAUCUGUACAAACCAACAGGAGCCCCUUCAGAUAGCAGCCAUCCUUCCAGCACGAGUCCUACCUAACAGGGAGCAGCAAGGAGGCUGCACGUGCUGCAGCCCUUGUUUGAACAUCUGCUGUCUCUAAUAGGAACAGCAAGGCACAGCACACUGACAUGGGUUACAAUAGAAGGGCUUUAGAAUUGUGUCUCAUAAUCUACAGCUGGGCAGAAUCUCACUGCUGCCGGUUGGUCCCAUCACCAGCACAACAUCCACCAUCCCACACAAUGUGAUUCUCUAGCCAGGGACUUCAAUGAGGACAGCAUGAUCGUCUAAUUGGAUUUCUGCUCUCAAUUAGGGCAGAGGAAAACCAAAUACAAAGCUGACCUGGAAAGCUUCAGCCAUCUGCACCUACAAAUGGCUAAUCUGCAACCAAGGAGCAUACAACAAGGACACAAAACAUAGUCUCAAGGUGCGCAUUGACUCACCUGCUUCCAACUGAGACCAGAGAUGCACCAGCAGAGCCUACAUGUAGCAGAACGUUACACCUCCAUUCCCUGCAGCACUGGGGUUGAACCAGAAAGAGUCAGUUCAGCUCUGAGCCCUCCCUACCACCAGCAACAUGCUUAGCUGUGAGAUCCACACUGAAUAAGAGGAACCUCAGCAAAAUCCCAUUGGUUUCACCUUGAAAUUAGAUGGAGAUCAGGGCCUAACAAGCAGCUGAAGCAAAGCAAUUACCUAGACCACAUGUUGCCAAUCAGAUGCCAUGUGAGGCUCGUUAUUGCAGCCGAAAGGUUGGAGUGGCUGCUCAAGCAUUUCCACGUGGUGCUGGAAAAUGAGCACCAAAAGAUAAAUGAGUCAGUACAGGAGCAAUAUGAGCUGAUGGCCAGUGCACCCCCCCACACACCUGGAGCUGCAAGGAGAGUCAACCAAAGCACCAGUGGUGGCAUCGCCUCAUUGCAUGACUGCAUGUACUAAACGAUGAAGCAAAGCACUUCUUGCUGCUGCUGUAACACAAGGGCAACGUGCAGCAUUCCCACCCUGUGCUGCUGGCAGCUGAGCCCCGGCACUGCCCUGCAGCGCUCCUCUGCUGGCUGCUGGGCUUCCACGUUAUAGUGCUUAACCAUAUCUUGCCAGCUGAUAAAGGAUCAGGAUUUGCAUAUGUUUGCAUGGCACAUUUGCAUACAUACGGCAAUAAAUUCUGCAGUAUGAACACACCACCAUAGAUGGGUGCAACCCCAGCAGCUCCACGCAACUCCACUCUCAUCCCAGCACCACAUCCCCUAUCCCACAGAGGGAGCAGAAACGAGUGUAACCCUCAUGAUGGCGAACUCCACCCCAUUGCAUAUUGUGCUGAUGCAAAGGAAAAAUGCAUGCUGCUUUUUCCUCCUUCCCCCCAAAAAGCCAAUUCCUCAGCAGCAUCCUCAGAUCCCAUGGGCUGCGGUGGGCGCUCAGCCCUGGGUCACAGCAGGGAGCCCGCCCGCGGCACACCGCGCAACCGCCGGAUUUAUGCCACCUCUCCUAAUGAUCAGCUGUGGACACGGAGGAACUCCCAGCAAUUUCCACCCUCGGUAGACACAGGUUUUCAGCACCGGCUAUUUUUGCUGCCCACAAGUAUUUUCAUUUAGCUGGUUGGAAAUCAGGGCUAUAAACGGAGGAGGUUGGAUGCAGAGCGCAAGCAGCUCCGUCAGAGACCAAAGGAGAUGCUGCCAUUCUCACCCACACGCCGUGAGAUUACUGCCUGGCCUUCUUCCAGAGGGGCUUCCAAGCUGGUUUCUCCUUUCUGCUGAGCAAUCUGGAACCUGACUUUCCUCCGCUGUGUGUUUUCCUCAGUGGUGGAUGGAGGGUUCAGCCUAACGUUGUCAGCACUGCUGCUCCAAACGCACUGGAGGGGAGCCCGGUUUUAGGGCGCGUCAGCAGAGAUGAGAAGUGAAGCCCUGGUGGUCACCAGUUCCAUCCUACAGCAAGGCAAAAAAUGAAAUGAAACUUCAUGGAGGUGGCACAAAUAGCAAACAGAGUGGAAAGAACAAAUGCUUAGGAAAAAAAAAAAAAACAACAGCAACAAACCACAAGGGCUGCGAGCAAAGUGGUUAUAGAAAAUGGUUGCAAGCUUAAGUGUGAUUCAGAGAGUCUUGUCUGAGUGUCAGAGGUUCAAUACUAUUGCCUCCAAUUUAAAUCAUUUUUAAAAGAAGUGCAAAAGAAAGGUGAUGAAAGGGCCCUAACGUUGUUCCCUGGUCUGAAAAACACAGCCCACUUGUGCACUGUGGUAAAGUUUUGCAUUUUGGCUAGACAUCGCGUGCAGGGCUGUGCUGAAGCCUUUGCUUAUUUUUAAAAGUUGAAGUCACCGGUGAUCUGUGAAAGGAGAAAAUGCUUUUUCCUUUGAGGAAGAUGCCAUAGGACCAACAUCUCCUGGAGGGGGAGAGUCUGGGGGGGACAUUCCGUGCAUCUGUGCCUCCUGGUCCAACGAAGCACGGGGAAGACCAGUCCUUGGAGUGAAACCUCCUGUUUGGGGGCUUGGGCUUCCAUAACUGCGCUCCUGUUGCUGUGCAGCAGUGCUUGGGGAUGUUCAGACGCAGACAUUGCAAGCCUGGGCUUUUCCCCAUUGGUGUGUUGUGGAGGGGUGGCAAGGCCGUGGCACCCACACACAAGGACAGGCACACAUCCCCUACGUCUGGGAGCAGUCACCCAACACAAAGUCAUCCCCUUCCCCUUGGAUGUGGGGUGCAGGAUCCAGCCCUGGUUCUCGUCCUGGACAUCCCCAGCCUGGCUGCCAGCCUUGCCUGGGAUUCCUGGUAGGGAGGGCUGAGCCCUGUGCCUCCUCCAAGGUAAAUACACCAGGCUUUGGGCAGUCUACUCCAUGGAGGCUCUUUGCUGCAGCCUGUCUGCUCUGACCAGAUGCUGGAAGUGCUGCGGCUCAAGUAGACAUCAACCUCCUCUUGAAAGCCUGUGGGGCUGCAGUCCUUGCAGAGACCCCAGCAGAGCCAAGGGGACAUCACUGGGAUGUCCCAUGAGGGAUGAUGGGAAGGCAGCACUGGGUGAAUCCAGGAUCCAUUGGCAGGAGCCGAGCACCAAGUGCCCGGCGUUCAUCCCCAUGGUCUUCAGAGCCAGCACGGGGUCAUGGCAAUGCAAAAACCCUUUGCUCACCAAAGGGGAGGUAAACGCCAGGCACUGGCACCAAGAGCCAGGCACAGAGGUCUGAGCAACAGUCACUUCCCUGAUGAAGACUGUCUUGCACAUUUGGAAAAAAAGAUUCCCUGUUUUUCUAUAUUAUUCAGGCACCCAGACAGUUUAGGCACCGAGCUGGGCUUGAUAAUCUGACCUGAGAAGGGAUUGUUUCUGUCCCUGCUCUGAAUCUUAGAUUUUAAACUCAGCGUGAGCCAUUAUUAUCAUCCAUCUCCUUUGUGACACAGGCCAGAGACUUUCACUGCUGUACCAGAGCAAUAACUUCUGGUUAAGCCUGCCAAAAACCUUCUAUGCAGAUAUUCCCUCUGUAUUUUAAAGGAGAGGCAUGCACAAUAAACACCAAUAAACACCUUUUCCUUACAGCAACCUGAUGGAGUUGGGGUGUCUGUGUAUAGGUUUCUACCAAAAGAUGAGUUGAACAAUUGUGUGACUUCUUUUUUUUCCUCUCCUCCUGCUUAUGCGGUGAGUUACU